rnacentral:rRNA from 1 species
ACGGAGGAUCCGAGCGUUAUCCGGAUUUAUUGGGUUUAAAGGGUGCGUAGGCGGGUUUUUAAGUCCGUGGUGAAAGCUUGCAGCUCAACUGUAAAAUUGCCAUUGAAACUGAAGACCUUGAGUGUGAAUGAGGUAGGCGGAAUGUGUUGUGUAGCGGUGAAAUGCUUAGAUAUGACUCAGUACACCGAUUUCUGAGGCAGCUUACUAAGAUACAACUGACGCUGAGGCACGAAAGCGUGGGGAUCGAACAG